GGCCAGCAUGGUGUAAUGGUUUGAUCGUUGGACUAGGACUCUGGGAGACCAGGGUUCGAAACCCUGCUUGGCCA